rnacentral:lncRNA from 1 species
GAUUCGGUGUGUUAUACCCGGGUAGUUCUGGCGAACCCACCGUGUGGAGUUGCUACAUCAAUUCUGUCAUCUUCGAAGCGACCAGUUUUUGGGUCAUUCGAGACACCCAACCGCGAAGUAACGGUGGGUGGGGUAAAUGCCAACAAAGGCCCAGCAAACUUCCUAGGUGAUCCUAUGUCGUCAAGUCGGUCAGUCGGUCCGAGUGAUUUCAACAAGCAUCUUCGCGAGAUUUGCAAAGAUGAUCCGGUAUGGGUGGUGAAUGCAAUUUUUCGGUUUCAAUUUAUAUGGAUAUGUGUAUGUGUGUGGGUUUUACAUCUAUGAGAAUCAUACAGAUAUUUUAUGAUGUGUGUGGUACAGGUAUUGGAGGAGUUGAGCCUUAUGCUGAAACGACACAAUGCAAAG